UGGGGAAUAUUGCACAAUGGGCGCAAGCCUGAUGCAGCAACGCCGCGUGAGGGACGACGGCCUUCGGGUUGUAAACCUCUUUUAGUAGGGAAGAAGCGAAAGUGACGGUACCUGCAGAAAAAGCACCGGCUAACUACGUGCCAGCAGCCGCGGUAAUACGUAGGGUGCGAGCGUUGUCCGGAAUUAUUGGGCGUAAAGAGCUCGUAGGCGGUCUGUCGCGUCUGCUGUGAAAACCCGAGGCUCAACCUCGGGCCUGCAGUGGGUACGGGCAGACUGGAGUGCGGUAGGGGAGAAUGGAAUUCCUGGUGUAGCGGUGGAAUGCGCAGAUAUCAGGAGGAACACCGAUGGCGAAGGCAGUUCUCUGGGCCGUAACUGACGCUGAGGAGCGAAAGCGUGGGGAGCGAACAGGAUUAGAUACCCUGGUAGUCCACGCCGUAAACGUUGGGCGCUAGAUGUGGGGACCAUUCCACGGUUUCCGUGUCGCAGCUAACGCAUUAAGCGCCCCGCCUGGGGAGUACGGCCGCAAGGCU
rnacentral:rRNA from 1 species